rnacentral:lncRNA from 1 species
CUGAAACACCCAAGCAUGGUCACCAACUUUUCGGUGCUGGAACAUCUGACGUCCAUUGGUAGCAUGCUUCUUAAGGAAAAAAGAAAGAUUCCUACAAGAUCUUAGGAGAGAAGAGAUUUUUAGGUAAACAAGAAGGGCAUAUACUGAACUCCAUCAGGAGGAGACCACCACAAACACUGCAACCUAUAAACUCACCAGUUGGGAAUAGAAGGAUUGGAUGCAAGUUCCUGUCAAAACCAAAACGAAAUCCACGGAUUAAUGCUCCUGUAUCAUAUUGACUACCACAAGCAUACGGAUGGUGUGAAAAUGCAUUACCAGCAACCUAGAAUUGGUAUCAUUCAUCACAAUGAUCCUUUGAAUAAAUGUGUGAGAGCAAACACACCAUCAUCCGUAUGGCUCAGUAGAAUUAGAAGCUAGUAAGAUCAUGUACACCCAAAUUCAAAUUCACAACACUCUGCCUGCCAACAUUUAACAAAUAGAAUUAUGUUUAAAAAUUAGGAUUAACCACAUACAGAUAAAGUAUAUUAUGUAUUCAAUGUUAAGAAUUUCUAAAGCUAUAUUCAGAUAAGGCAUAAGAAUAAAAUUAUUCACUGAUUGACACUACUUCUCUAGCCGAUAGACAGUUAGCCAAAUAUAGACCUCCCUGGAAGGAGCAAAUCGACCACUAUUAGGGGUAAAAGGGAAAUUUUUGUUUUCGGUAGUUAAGCCAAUACAAAUCAAUAGUAGGGGAAGAAUGAGAUUGACUAAUUGAUGACCGGUACCAAGUAACUAUCGUGGCUUACUGUAUGAAUUGGGCGGAAACACAUCUUUACUAUCAAAAGUUAGGUUUCUGCUAGUUCAACAAAAACAGUUUAGAGAGACAGCCAGGAAGAGGGUCCAAUGUACGUGUACCUGGUUGCAAUUGAAAUAAAUCUAACUCGAG